AUUGAACGCUGGCGGCAGGCCUAACACAUGCAAGUCGAACGAGUGGCGGACGGGUGAGUAAUGUCUGGGAAACUGCCCGAUGGAGGGGGAUAAAUACUGGAAACGGUAGCUAAUACCGCAUACCAUCGGAUGUGCCCAGAUGGGAGUAGCUAGUAGGUGGGGUAACGGCUCACCUAGGCGACGAUCCCUAGCUGGUCUGAGAGGAGGACCAGCCACACUGUAACUGAGCAACGGUCCAGACCCCUACGGUAGGCAGCAGUGGGAAAUAUUUCACAAUUGGCGCAAUCCUGAUGCAGCCAUGCCGCUUGUAUUAAGAAGGCCUUCGAGUUGUAAAGUACUUUCAGCGACGAGGCGUUACUCGCAGAAGAAGCACCGGCGAACUCCUGGCCAGCAGCCGCGGUAAUAC
rnacentral:rRNA from 1 species